rnacentral:lncRNA from 1 species
GAGAAGGCAAGUGAGGAUGGAUCAGAUCCCCGUGGCUACCUGGAGCUUGCAGUUAAUAUCACCAAAGAUAUCGAAAGUCACCUUCUCAAUGCAUAACGCCAAGACCAUAUGUACCGUUUGCUAGUAUUUCUCUCUUAAAUAAAGUUUGGAACUUGGAUGUGCAUCUAUGUACUAUCUCGACCUUUUAAUAAACGCAAAUUCCAGCUGUACUGGAGUUGGUGACUAAUGCCGAGAAGACAAACUAGGUUCCCGAUCCUCAGUUAUUUAUGCAAUAAUAUUAAUUAGUGCAUGCGUGUGAUUAGUUGUAUGGUUCUGGGAGUUGCUUUGUGAUUGUUAAUCGGUGUCUUUUGUAGUGGGAUUAUUACAUGCAUGUAAUGUGAAGAACAUAUGAUCCAUGAGGAAAUAAAUUAAAUGAAAAUUACCCAGGCUCCAUCAUGAGGAGCCUUUGAGCAUGCCCACAAGCCUACGUUCCUGCAUUCAAGUCACAUAUGUGAAAAUUCCACUUUGCACAUAAUCUAAAUAAUUUAUCUAAAAAUCUAAGAAGUAAUCUCUCUCUCCAUCUAUGUCUCUCUCUCCCCAUCUAUAUGUACCUCAAAUGAAGAGGUAAGGUAAUGUAAAAUCCCCACCUCAAAUUUAGGGAUAUUUAUAUAAUUUGAAAAUUUUAAAAAGACCUACAUUAAUUUUGUAAAUAUUUAUGUAAUCAACUUUCUCAGAUUAAUUAAAUAAAAAAUUGACCAAGAUGAUUAAAAAUGCAAAUUUGAUGAGGACAUGAAGUAAAAAGUGGUAGGGUUUAAGGACAAUGGCUUCUACUGAAUUUUGGUGAGGUGGUGAUACAAUGAGGAAAAUAGAUUAAUAAAGUUUAUCCAUGGAAAUAGAAAAUAGAAAACAAAAAAUAUAAAAUAAUAAUAAUAUUCAUGUUAAUCAUUUAAUAAAUAUAAUAAAUGCAAUUAUAUAUGCUAAGUGAAAAUAACAAUAUUAUUAUUAUUAUUAUUAAUGCUUAUGAUAGGUGAGAAUUAAGUCUUUUAGAAAUUUGAGUAAUUUUUUCAAGGUAAAGCUUAUAGUUCAUUAAGUCAUUUUAUAAUUCCUUAUAUAUUUUUUUAUUGAUUUUUAAAGUAUCAAAAUGUGUAAAUUCUUUAAAGUGGAUCAAAUAGUUUUUUUUUUUUUUGAAAUAUUUUGUGAUUUGUUUGGUUGUUAUGAAAGUGAAUUUUAUUACUUAAUUUAUUAUAAUGAUUUUAAAACUCUAGUUAUUAGUGGUUUUAGUCAACAAGGAUAAGUUAUUAACCUUCUUUACCUUUGGUCAGUGAAGGGAUGUAGUAUAACACUAGCCAAUAAAUGUGUCAUUGGUCUUGUAUACUAUUGAUUAGAAAUUGUUAUGUCCACCAAUGAGAGUAUUAAAGUGAGGUGAGCCACCUAAUGUAAGUCCCAAUAUUUGGGCACAACGUUAUUAUUAAUUAAUAAACAAAAAUAAAUAGUUUAUUUAUAAAAAUUUUUUUCUAAAUAUAAAUUGAGUAUGCAAAUUGUAUUUUUUAAUUCUAUCUUUAAAUUUAAAGUGUUUAAUCUUUUGAAGAAAGUGAAUUUAAUUUUUUGAAGAAAGUGAAUUUAAUUUUUGAAUUAAAUAAAUUAACCUGAUAAUUGAUUUUUAUAAAAAUUUGAUAUCUCUUAGAAUUUAAUUCUCUACAAUAUAUACCUGAUUUUUUUCAUUGAACUAUUUUUUCUUAUUGAACCAUUGAAGUCACCCUUCUUUAUUAUUCCCCUUUUCAUAUACAAAUGGUAUAAGUGAGAAGGGAUUACGGGAGGAGAAAUGUUUCUAUUAUAAACAACUUUGGAAUUGAAUUAUGUUGGAUUGUGAAACGUGAAUCGGUUUAAUUUAUUGUAUUUUGCAAGGAAUGCUAGAGGUCGAGUGUCUAAUUGAGCUUGCGGGGAUCAAGAGUCUUGAUCGGUUCGUUGGGACUUGGGAUUGAGUUGUCCAAUCAGCUCAUGGGGUUAAAGGAAUAUCCUUCGAUUUUUUUUAAUACGAUGAAUAACGAGUUUGUCCUAAUUGUAUAUUUAAUCUUAUUAUAAUUUAAAGUUUCUUUUUAGAGAGUGUGUGACUGCAAUCGAAAGGAUAAUGAGUGUUUAGUACUCGUCUUAUUUUUUUCUGAACCAAAUUAAAAAUCUAUUGUUUUUCUUUAUUUUCUAAUCGUGUGUGCAUGAUUUGAUCAACAAAUUAUUUAUAGGAUUGUUUACUUAAAUUUGAUUGUAAUUUAUUUAAGUUUUUAGGAGAAUCAUUAAAUUUAUUAUUACAAUAUUUUAUUAGUUUUGAAUUUGUUAUUUAAAGUGAUUCAUUUACUUGGUUCAAAGGUUUGACAUAUAAAGUCACCGUGGUUCCCUUGGUGUCGCGGGUGAUUUUGUAAGUGCCUUCGGACUACAGAAUAUUAAUUAACCUACCAAUCUUCAAUGUAAUCUAAGAUGCAGAAAGAUCUUGUGGGUUAAGGUCAAGUGGGCGCUUCAAUAUUUAUCAUGUCUUCAAAAAAAACUUCAGGGCCCCAGUCCAGAUUCUCAGAUAUGGAUUCUAACAGUUGCUACCAAUCACGGGGGUGAAAACAAAUCAGUGUCGCAGAAAUCGCUAUCAAUGUGGUACUGGAAAAAAAAGAAGAGAUUCCUCCACUUGUUCUUGAAAUUUAUCUGAACGCAUGCAAUAAAUCAAUGCUCCAUAAUCUCCUGCACAUGCAAAUUAAAAUCAAAAUCAGGCCAUUGGCCUCUCACAUUACCAUUCUUGGCCGUUUUCUGGUGUGCAUAUAAAGAGUAAUAACCACACCAUCCAUCUUUUACUCUGGUUGUCACACUCCCACCACUCUCCCACCACUUCUUCCCUAAUCUCCUAACAUCAAAUACAAAAAUGCCACAUCCUUAUUAUUGAAAAUUAAAUUCCCAUACAUAUAAAUCUUAUGCCAGAUUUUUUGUUGAUUGGAUGAUAUUCGGCCAUAUAAAAUUCAGUAUCAAUCACAAACAUUCGUUAUCCAAUCUUGAUACCGAAGAGGAUAGAGUAUCAAUCCAUCUAUGGGCCCGGUGCACCAGGCCUUCCGCCUAUAAAAGUUUUCUAGGGUGGUGAACUAUAUUCUUCAAACACAGCCUUGGCUAGUUACUAUCUGGUUUCCAAAGAAAGAAGAAAUGGCUCAGAUAGAUAAGAUGGAAACCCAUGUAGAGAAAAAGUCCCCUGCCAAUGAGUUCUACGAGGUCUUCAGCAGCAAAGCUCAUCUCAUUCCCAAGGCCUGCCCUGACAAAAUCAAGAGCAUCGAAGUGGUUGAAGGUGAUUGGAAGAGUGUGGGCUCUGUCAAGCUCUGGACUUACUGUAUCGGUAAGGCAACGCUAACCAUUAUUCCCAUGCCACCCUCAAUCAAACAAAAUAAUACACUCAGCACAUGGACCUUCUUGUUUUUAAUUAUUAUUGCUGUGGAAGAUAAUAAUAACAAAACAAAGGGAAUGACCCCUUCUGAUACGGGUGCCUCCUCAUAUUAGUUUUUUGAAGUUCUCCAUGCAAACUAAAGUAGAAAUCAAUCUUUAGGCACAUCCCUUAUCUGAGCUUCACAUGACCUUAGUUUCAUUUUAAAUUAACCUGCAGGAGGAAAUACUUCGUCUAGCAAGGAGAGGGUGGAAAAGAAAGACGAUAAGAACAAGUCCAUCACUUUCAAGGCUCUGGAUGGAGAGGUCAUGAAGGAUUUCAAGAGCGUCAUCUCCAUCCUUGAAGUGAGUGCAAAGGAUGACGGCAGCCUGGUGAAAUGGACUUUGGAAUAUGAGAAGUCAAAUGAGAAACUCCUACCUCCAGAUGCUUACCUCAGCCUUGUAAUUAGUAUGAGUAAAGAAAUCGACGCUUACCUUCUCAAGGCAUAAGCCGCAUAACAAGCCCUAUAUCCUUGACUUGAUAUGAAAGCAUCCUAGCCUGGGUCCUCCUGGGAAUAACGGAGUUGCUAUGCGUACCUCCAUAUUAUAUUAUCGACACCUACUGGCUACUGCUGUACUCCAUGUAACUUCUUGCUGUACUUAAUUAUAUGAGCUUCCUGAAUUAAUGUUGGAAUGAUAAAUCAAGCUUUAUGGUAGAAUCAAAUGAUUGCUCUAUCAUGGAAUAAAUUUCGCAAUAAAAAUAAAUAUUAGAGGAGAGUUAUGAAACGAAGCUUUUUUUUCUGCAUCAAAUUAACUUUUCAUACACUGUUUUUAAAACAAAUCAACAUACAAUGAUCUUAUGUUGUACCUUUUCCGUUGCAGAUUGCUUUUAAAAAUGUUCUCCCCACAGGCACUUCUAUGGUAUCUUUUCAAAAUUGCUAUUAUAUAUGUUUAAUUAACCAUUCAUUUUGGUCUAAAGCUAGGACGAACUUCUAAGACUGCCACGGAGACUCUGGAAAUCAACAGAUGAAGAAAAAAAUAAAAUAUAUCCAUGACUUCCAAGGUUUUGGAAGCAGAGGUCAUGAAUCAUUUCAAGAAGAUUCAAGUCAUCCAUGCAAGUAACAGCAAAGGAUAAGCGCAGCUAGGUGAAAUGGAGACUGGAUAUUGAGGGUCACUAUCUCAGAUUCUCAAGGCAUAGCAUUAAAAACAUAUCCUUUAAUUGGUAGUAUAAUCUCAAACUUGUAUGUAAAGACCAGACCGUGGAAGUGCAUAUAUGCAUUUUAUUCUUCAAUAAGCGCAGGCUUAGGGGGUAGUUCAAUAACCUCUGGGCUUAGUCAAUCCCGAGAAGAUAUUAAUAAAUUUCCCUGGAUUAUUCCUCUCAUGAAUAUCAGUGCCUGUAAUUUGGUUGUGUGCUAACGGGAGUUGCCUCUUGCGAUCGGUUGGGUUCUUUAAUAAACGCAUUAUUAGGUAUGAAUGAUCAGGAAAUUGAUAAGUAAAAAACAAUUUAAUUAUUUCACUUAAGUCAUAAACCAUUAUGAGGAGCCUUGGAAUAUAUGCAUGAGUCUAGAUUCUCGCAGCCACUAAUCACGUAGUCAAAAUUGGCCAGUCGCAAACAUUCCAAUCAUUCUUUAUGAUAAGAAAGAAGAGUUCACUCUUCUUUUUCUCGAGUUUUUUAUUUGGAGAGAGCAAUUUAUCAGCCUCACAUUUUGAGACCUUUCUUGGCACAUCACUUUCAGAAUCUGAUUUCCUAGCUCCACUAUAGAAGUAAAGCCAGUUGGGUAUCACAUUCUUGUUUUAUGUCUCCUUGAGUGGGUCGGGUGUAUAUAAAAAUUUGCCAGUUGAAGAUUUUCUUUGUUAUGCUAGUCUUUCUUUUUCUAACCUCCUGAUAUCAAAUGGGAAAAUGCCAUAUCGUUACUGGACAAUUGACCCAUAAUGGAGAGACUUUUGUUGGUUGGACUUGGGCUUUUAUAUAACUCAGCAACUAUCAUAAUUAUAGGAGAAAUUUGAAGUAACCAUAUUGAUUUGGGUCUACCAAGAAGCAAGGUGAAUCGUAACAUAUCAUGCAUAUAACUUGAUUCAAUUAUUUUAUAUUCUACUUGUUUCUUAUGUAUUUUUACUUUUAUCAAAUAGUUUAGAUAUCAUUACCAAAUAUUCUCCUGACAUUUUCCUAUUAUUUCUGUAAGAUGCUAUAAUCUACACCCAAAGUAGUGGACCACUUACACUUUAUUAUGUACUAACCACGAUCAUAACUUACAUUCUCCACCUUGGCCUCUCUCUUAUCCCAAAAAGUAAAGACUCAGGGUUCGUAUCCCUUCCCUUCUGUCUAUAUAGGUCUAAGAGUAGUCAAGUGUUUCCUUCAAUAGCCUUCAUAUUCUUGGCAGUAACUAGGUACUUGGUUUUCAAACACAACAAAAAUAAUGGCUCAAAUUGCCAAGAUGGAGGUCCAAGCAGAGAUCAAGUCCCCUGCCAGUAAGUUCCACGAGGUCUGUAGCCGUAAAGUUUAUCUCGUACCCAAGGCUUGCCCUGAAAAAAUUAAGAGCAUUGAAGUAGUUGAAGGUGACUGGAAGACUGUGGGCUCUGUCCAGCUUUGGACUUAUUUCAUCGGUAAGGCAAAAUCCAUCAUUCCACGCCUCCCCCAACAAACACAAGGACACAGAGCUCAAUUGUACUUCUAUUAUUAUUACUAUUAUUAGGAAAUAAUGAUAAUCUAAUGGUAAUGUGACUCUACUCAUGCCGAUAUAAACCCCGUAAUCUUGAUCUCAAAUUGCUAUCAAACAAAAGAAUAUCAAAUAAAGGUAAAGUGUGUCCCCUAUAUUUAUACGUAGAUAGAUGAGUUCUAAGCUUAGCACCAUGUUUUCCAUUUGAAAAACAGGAGGAAAUACCGAAGAGGCUAAGUUGGUGGUUGAAAGGGUAGACGAGGAAAACAAAACGGUCACUAUGAACGUUGUGGAAGGAGAUAUCGUGAAGUAUUUCAAGAUCUUCAAGUGCACUAUUCAAGUAACCGUAAAGGAUAAGGGCAGCUUGGUGACAUGGAGUGUGGAAUAUGAGAAGCUAAAUGAGAGUGGCCCCGCUCCAGAUGCUUACCUCAACUUUGCAAUGGGUAUCGUUGAGAACGUGGAUGCUUACCUUCUCAAGGCAUGACAACAAAGGCGUAUUCAUGAGUCAUGACAUGGUAUGAAGCACUGGUACAACAAAAACUUGGGAAUAAUGUACCACACGCCAUGUCCUCAACUUCUACUGGUCAUCGCUAUAAUAUUAAAAGUAACUUCUUAUUCUACUUAUAUACCUUCCAAGUACUUUGUGUCUUGAAUGUUAUUAUCUAAAAAUAAAAAUAGAAAAUCUCGAAGAAGAGCAUUGUCCUUCGACACUUUUCUUUCUUUCUUUCUUUCUUCACUGCUGAGAAUCUCAACGUACGACUACCAUUUGCAUUAUGGACCCAUGACUGCCAUCCUUUGACCACAUUUGUUGCCCUCCCACCAAACUCCUACGCGUCAAAAUUUCUAUUGUUGCUUGAACAAUAUUUUCAUUUGAAAAACAAGGAAACGAUUUAAAAAUUCUUAUCUCAUGUCUAGUUACCCCGGUCGACCAUAUAAAGUACCACUUGAUCACUCUAGUCUCCUUUGCUAGCCCAUGGGCAAUGCAAUACCCAGCAGGUCCCAGUAACCAACUCUAUGUUCCUCCGAAAAUGAAACAAAUCAGGUCGUUUCAGGGAUGCAUUUGAUCUCACCCUUUUGUUUUGUGUCCGUUAUUUUUUAUUUUAAUAUCACAUGUUUAUAUUUUAAUCUCAUUCUUUACACCUGGAUUUGCUGAUAAAGGCAACUUUCUUUUUGAGCUUUGAUCGAGAUUUUUAUGAAAUUCCUGUGAUAUUACCGUCCUGCUCCUGCUUAAGAAUGUAACUUUGAUUUUGCUUUUAGUGAAGUCUUUAGGUGUUGUUUAUUCCCCAAAAUCUUUUGAUGUUUCUGAAAUUGCUUCAGUGGACUUUGAGAGGUUGCAGGUACCUCUUUUCUCCUGAAAUAGAAUUUGUUUCAGUGGAGCAAGACAACAGGAUGAGCAAAAAAUAGAACCAAUUUUAUUGAUAUAUAUCAGGUUUUUGAGACGUUGAAGAACAUUUCUAACAACUUUUUUUGAUGGGUGACCAAGCCUAUUAUGCCACAAUGCAUAUACAGAACAAGAAGAAAAAGAAGCAGGUGUUGGAACUACAGAAGAAUUGUAUACUAAGGGUUGUGUUGACAUACUGACAUAUGACUUAUGAGGAGUUGAGGGAGAGAAGCUGCCACUGAUUAUUAAUGAGAUCAAUUUGAGACUGAUAAAAAACAUAAAGACCAUCUUUAGGCCUACCCCUCCAGUAGCACUGUUUUGAAGUGAAAUUCAAAGAAGACAUUCUUUUGGGCAAAUUUUGACACACUGAGAAGGUUCUAAUUAGCAAUUUCAGGGACAUGAAGUGUUUUAAAGAGUAAUUUCAGCAAACAUAACUUCAACUUUACAUCCACCUGACCUCAUUAUUUCAGUUUGACAAGAGGGCUUAAUUAUAUCAGUAUGACUGCUAAGAAGACUUUGGAAUAUUAUAAAACGAGUCCAUCAAGUUCAAGGUUUGGAAUGGAAAGAUCAUGAGUAAUUUCACUACUUUUAAGCUGAAUAUGAGAAGGUAAAUGAGGAUGUCCCAGACCCAAUGCUUACUAAAUCAUUGAAGGUCACCUUCUUGAGGCAUAAUUCCAAUUCUUUUCAUCGAUGCUUCUUAGAUGUUAUAAAACAAUACUAUGAAAAUGAAAACGUAAUGUAAUUUUGUCAAAGCCUUUUCCUUAUUGAAGACUCUGGACUGAUUGCGUGGGUGCGCAACACCCACCAUAAUUCCCACACCAACGCCCAACUAACCAAAUCACGUAAGGCCUCACAUGGCCUCAUUAUUAUUUCUGUUGAAAGAUAAUACUAUAUUACAUACGAGAUGGCCAUUCUACCAGCCACCUGUAAAGUUGGUGAUAAAUUGAUACUAAAAAUAGAAGGAAAAUUAAGUUGAAAUUAAGGGUGUCUAUUUAAAUUUAAUUAUUCCCUAGAUAUGAUCUUUUGAUAUGAUUUGAACCCGUUAAUCAUUUAUUUUUAUAUAAAGAGACAAAAAUUCAAUUGUAUAAUCCAGGAUGAGUCACUUGGCCGGGUUUUCGACGACAGCUAAAUCAACCUUCAUUUAGUAAUGAUUGCCCAUGAAAUAAAUUAUCAUGUCUCCUCACAAUAUAAUAAACUAAUAAAAAAUAAAAGAAGAUCACAAAGAAAAGCAUCUUAGUGGAAGUUUUUUUUUUUUUUUUUUUCUUUCAUUUGUUGGUGGUGACACUCCGUGAAAUGUGAUCAACUAGCAUUUGAAUUACACAACCUAAUGCAAAUGAUAAAAAGCAUAAAUUACUUUAGAGUGUUUAGAAUUUGGAAGACUCUAGCUAGGAUGAUAUGGCAUGGGUCUGUGGCCGACAACCACCAAACCCAACGCUAAAUAAUUAUUAUUGAACCAUCAUCAUCAGUAUAAGCAACAUCAAACCUCUCCAUGUUAAACUGUACAUUUUAUUUCAUCCGGAUCUAAUAUCUAAUUAUAAAUGAUUAUGUAUGAGAUUGCAAUCCUUUGCUUAACUCUUUGAAAAUCUAAUUAUAAAUAUUUGGAAUAUCGAUUUCAUCUCUACCAUUAAAAGCAUAUGAAAAAAAUAUCUUGGUCUUUGAAUAAAAGUAAGUAUAAAUAAUUAGACUAGGGUACCAAAUGAUGAAAUCAAAUAUAAAUGAAUUAUAACCAUCAAAUUUCUAUUUUUCAUUAUUAAAUCAUUGGGCGCUCCAAUUUUUACAUGAUGUAUAACUAUUGACGGAAAUGUUAAUUAGGGAUGGCAACGGGGCUGGUUUUUUCGGGUACCCGCCCCCCCCUCCCCCCCCCCCGCCCCUAAUGGGACGGGGUUGAAAUUUAAUAAACGGGUUUUUAACGGGUAUGAGAUUUUUUUUUAAAACCAGGGGCGGGUUCGGGACGGGUUCGGGACGAGUUCGGGUAUUGCCCCAUUCCGCCCCGCCCCGCCCUGUUUACAUAUAAAAUCAAUUUUAAAAUUAAUUUUAUUUUACUAUUUUUAAUAUAUAGAUAAUAAUAAAAAAAUUAAUAAAAUAAGUUAUAAAAAAUAUAAUAAUUUUAUUAUUUAUAAAUAUAUUUAUUUUAAUGUAAUUAAAAAUUUUAAAAGUAAAUUUUUUUUUUUAUAAAAAAAAGGAGGCUAAACGGGGCGGGACGGGGAUGAGAAUUAUUUUUAAUAAACGGGGCGGGGUUGGGAUGGGGGCAACCCGUCCCGAACCCGCCCUGUUGUCAUUCCUAAUGUUAAUAUAAGGAUAUAAUAAUGGGUAAAAUUAGUUGAAAGUGUUUUUUUUAUGACAUAAAAUAAUUUUUCAAAUUUUAAUUUCUAUUUACUUUGUCUUCCCUUGUCAUGUAUCUUUGUAAUUUUCCGAUUUGUUUAUCAAAACAAUAAAUGAUGUCAUGUUAUGAUUUCUCUUUUUGUCUUCCUUUUUAAUUGACGUGUUUAUUGGAAUAAUAUAUUAUGUUAGACAAAAUAACACAUACCUCCACUGCCCAAAUCCCCUCCGUGACAAUGAACCCCAUCUUUAAGCAUUAUUAUAAAAUUAAGCAUAAAGUUAUUACAAGUUUCUUCCAUUUCACAUGCCUUUCCCAUAGAUUGAGUGGUGGAGAUGAUCAUUCUUGAACGAUUUAUAAUUUUAAUGAAUUCUGUCUAUUCUCAUAUCUUUUAAGAGGGAAUUCAAAUCAACUUAUCUUAUUUUCUCAACGCUACUUAACUUCCACGGCUUCAAAUUUACAUGAUCAUAUCAUUAUCAAUAACUUCGGCAUAACUAUUCAAAUUUUAAUAAGAACUUCAAAUCAUUGUUACCUUUAUUGCCUUAAAAAUCUUUUUCUUUGUCAAUGAUCCCUGCACGAUUAUUAAAUAAUAGGAUUGUUAUUGUCAUAUUAACUAAUUUUGAUAAUAUAGUCAUCGUCACGGCUGAGUGCCGUUUUCUUGGGAGAUUUUUCAUAAAUUUAAAUCAAUACCAGUUAUAGGAAAUGCGUCACAAAUUAGGAAGAUAUCGAGCUGGAAGCAGAUGAUAUAUAAUUCAUUAUUUUCUUCCUUAUUGAAGCUUGACAAACCAAUCCAAAUGCAUUAACGUGAGAAGCAAGGUUUUAUGCUCAUUUUCAAUGAACCUUGUCAACAUGCACGUCAAAAACAAUGAUUUAUUAACUACGUACAUGUAGAACUGCAUGGGAAAAAAAAAAUACAAUUAAGGCAUUGGGAUAUGAAUAAAACGCUUAACUUAAAAUUCAAAAUUCUCAAAACUACGUUUUUCACACCAAAAUGUUUCAUCCAGCCAACCUAAGACCGAGUGAAUCCUCCCUCUAAAGCACAUUGCCCAAGACUACAGGCAACGUAGUAAUUACCUAAGCAAAUACGUCAGAAUCAUACCAAUUUUUACCAAAGUGGGUAUCGGGAAGGAGCUUUGCCUAAUUCAUCCUUCUAUAUAUAAGGACAAGGUUAUCUACUUCUUCUCAUCACUGCCUUCUGUUUGAAUAUUUUGUAGUUAGUUUUAUCAAUCCAGCUAGUGUUAUUAUCAGAAAAACAUGGCUCUAACUGGUAAGUUGGAGACUGAAACAGAGAUCAAAGCACCUGCUGAUAAGUUCUUUAAAAUCUUCAGGAGCCAAGCACACCACCUUCCUAAUAUCUGCUCCGAUAAAAUACACAAAAUCGAGGUACAUGAAGGUGACUGGGAGACUCAGGGCUCCGUCAAGCAUUGGAGUUUGACCGUUGGUAAGGCAUCUCAAACUAAGAACCACAAAACACUAGCGUUAUAUUCUGUUAAUUAAAAUAAGUUAUUAUGUUUUUGUUUCAUUUCAUUGUUGUUUUCUUCACCUUUCAAUUAUUCUAUUAGAAUAAAAGCAUGCCUCUUUGUACAAUUUUUUUCUUGCAAAGAAGUGAUCGAGUCUGGGCCGCUAGUGACUAUGAUGGUUCUUAGGAAUGUACAUGACAUCUAAUAAUAGCUUCAACAUAUUCCAAUUAUGUUUAACCUCACAUUUUGGUUUCAACUAGGAGAGAAUUCUGAGAGUAUUAAAGAGACUGUGGAUCAAAUAGAUGAAGAAAACAGGUCCAUCACAUUCAAGGUUUUGGAUGGGGAGGUGCUGAAAGACUACAAGAGCUACAAGUUCACCACACAAGCGAUACCAAAGGGGGAGGGCUGCUUGGUGAUAUGGACCAUCGAAUAUGAGAAGGCAAGUGAGGGUGGCCCAGAUCCCCAUAACUGCCUAGAGUUUUCAGUUAAUAUCACCAAAGAUAUCGAAAGUCACCUUCUCAAUGCGUAACACCAAGGCCAUAUCCACCCUUUGCUAGUAUCUUGCUCGUAAAUAAAGUUUGGAACUUGGAAGUCCAUCUAUCUCUAUCUUUCAAUAAACGCAAAUUCCAGGUGUGGACUUGGUGAUUAGUGCCGAGAAGAUAAACUAGGUUUGCCUUGGUUAUUUGUGCAAUAAUAUUAGUGCAUGAGUGGGAUUGAUUGUAUGCUAUCUUGUCCGGGAGUUGCUUUGUGUCUUUUGUAAUGGGAUUACUACAUGUAAUGUGAAGACUAUAUGAUGCAUGGGGAAAUAAAUUAAGCGAAAACUUCCAUGGGCUCCAUCAUGAGGAGCCUUUGAGUAAGUCCACAAGCCUACAUUCUUGCAUUCUAGUCACAUGUGUCAAAAUAAGUCUCUACAAAUUAAAGUCUUAUUGUCAAAAUCCCACUUUACACAUAAUCUAAAUAAUUUAGCUAAAAUCUAAUAAGUAUGUCUCUCUUUAUAUGUACUUACCAUCCCAACUUUUAAAUUUAGGGAUAUCUAUGUAAUUUAGAUUUUAAAAAGAAAAUUUUAGGGAUAUUUACAAAGAUAAAUGAAAUAUUUUUGGUUCCGAUAACCAUUAUUUUUAUCUCAUUUUGGUUUCUUUGCGUUAUAAAAAAAAUGGUUUGUAGAGAUAAACUAGAGAAAAAAAAAAAUUAUACAAUGGUUUGUAGAGAAAUUUGAUUCGAAAAGUUAGAAAAGAUGAUUUGUUUUUUGCAUUUGCUUCAUUCUAAAAUUCAAUCACUAUCUUUUAUCUCAUUUUGGUUUCCCCACAUUAUCAAAAAAUGAAGGAUAAAAAUAAACUGGGGAAAAAAUUAUACAAAGGUCUCCGAGAACUUUGAUUUGAAGAGUUAGAAAAGAAGAAUUUUUUUGCAUUUGUUUCAUUUUAAAAUUCAAGGUUUUUGGAUUUCUAUUAUAUAUUAAUUAUGAGGAUAGUAGAAUAAUAAUAAUAAUAAACAAAAACUAGUUAUUAGUGACCUUGAUCAAUAGAGUAUAAGUUGUUGACCUUUAUUAUCUUUGUUAGAAGUAGUUAACGAUGCAAUGUAACCUUAGCCAAUAAAGAUGUUUUGAUAUACAUUGAUUGAAAAAUGUCCUUUUAAAACUAGUUAUUAUUGACCUUGGUCAACACAGAGGAUAAGUUGUUGACCUUUAUUACCCUUGUUAGGAGUAGUGAACGGUGUAGUAUAACCUUAGUCAUUAAGGAUGUUAUUAGCCUUUUGCUAUAUCAUUGAUUGAAAGUUGUCCUAUCCACCAAUAAGGAGAAUGAAGGCUAGCCACCAAGUACUAGUUUUAGUAUUUUGGCACAAUAUUAUUACUAGUGAGUCAAAGUGAAAUAUUUGUUGAUAAAACUUUUUUAAUAUGAAUUGAGUAAGCAAAAUAUAUUAUUUAAUUCUAUCAUUAAAUUGGAAGUGUUUAAAUUUUCAAAAACAAUUAUUUUAAUUAUUGAAUCAAAUGAGCUUACAUGUUAAUAGACUUUUAUAAAGAUGUGGUAUCUUCCGAAAUUUUAUUAUAUAUAAUAAUUGAUCUUCCUUAUACUAACUUUUAUCAUUGAGCCAUCGAGUUCACUUUUCUCUGUUAUUCUCCAUUUCAAUUAUAAAUGAUAUAAAGAGGGAUGAGGUAAGAAAAAUAUUUCUAUUAGAGACAGCUUUGGAAUUGAUUUAUUUUAGGAUUAUUUACUAGACUGAAUUCAUUUAUAAUUUCUAAAUUUCUUUUUGAAGAAUUUGAGAAAAUUAAAUUAAUUAUUGAGAGAUUUUAAUUAGUUUUAAAUUUGUUACUUAAAGUCGUUCACAUGUUGGAUUCUAAUAUUUGAUACGUGAAACUAGCAUGAAGGGCUUGACCUCCGGGUUUGGGGCGUCGCAGCUGACUUUAGAUUACAGAAUUAUUAAUCAACCUACCAAUCUUCAAAGCAAUCUAGGAUGCAAUAUGGUUUUGUGAUUUAAGAUCAAGUGGACGCUUCAUUUAUUAUGUCUUCAAAAAAACAUUUUGGGCCUCAAUUCGAGAUUAUCAGAUAUGGAUUCUAACAGUUGCUUCCAAUCAAAUCAGUGUCACAGAAAUCGCUACCAUUGUGGUACCUGAAAAAAAAAAAAAGAGACUCCUUCCCUUAAUAUUGAAAUUUAUCUGAAGCUAUGCAGUAAAUAAAUGCCCCAUUUUGUGCGUCAUAAUGGGGGAUCACAUUCAGAAUCUUCUGCACAUGCAAAUUAAAAUCAAAAUCAAGCCAUUGGCCUAUCACAUUACCAUUUUUGGCCCUUUUGUUUUGUUGUUUUUUUCUUUUUUUGGCGUGUAUAUAAAAAGCAACCACAUUAUCCAACUUUUAUUGAAAACACCAUAUUAUCAGAUACAAAAACGCCACAUCAUUAUUAUUGAAAAUUAAAUUCCCAUAUAUAGAAAGCCACAUAAAAUUCAGUGCCAAUCACAAACAUUCGUUGAUAUUCACUAGGAUAGAGAUAGAGUGCCCAUAUAUGGACAGUGCACCAUACCCGCCGUGAAGUGAUUGGAAGAGUGUGGACUAUGUCAAGCUCCGGACUUAUUUGUAUAGGUAAGGCAACGCUAACCAUUAUUAUUCCCAUGCCACCCUCAAUCAAGCACAGUCAUACACUCGGCACAUGGCACUUCUUGUUUUUAAUUAUUAUCAUAGUGAACAAUGUUUUCAUAAUCGGAUCGAUCAUCGAACCGAAAAAGUUAUCGAUUUACAGUCCAUUAGUCGAACCGACGGUCGAACCAAUAACAUCAUAAAUAUGUAAUUUAUAUAUUAUUAAAAUUAAAAAUAAUUAUACAAAUUUUAAAAUAUAUAUGAAUAAAUUAAAAAUCAAUAAUAUUAUUUUGUAUCUUUAAUAUUAUCAAAUUAAAUCAUAUUAAUAUUUUAAAUUUUAUUGAAUGAAAUAUAUAUAAUAUUUAAAUAUGAAUAUAUUAAAAAUGAAAAUUUAAUUAAACUAAUUUUAUAAUUUUUAAAAAUAUUAUAUUAUUUUUAUUUAAUAUUAUAAAAAAAUUUAAAAUCCAAUAUAUAUUAUUUUGUUUGGCAUAUUAAAUAAUAAAAGAUGUAUAGCCGAGUGGUCCUAGGUUGGUUAUAGACCUUGAGGUCCAAGUUCAAAUCCUUUGGUGGAUUUGUUAAUUUUUUUUUUCAUUGAUUAGGUUAGUUAGCAAUCCCACACUAAGAGGAAUAAGGAUGCUUAUAAAAGCUAGCCUCAUUAUGGGCAAAGGCAUCACCUCAUCUGGUGGGCUUAAGACUCAGCCCAUAAAAUGGUUGGGUGCGGUGUGGGCUUUGUCACAUUAAGACAGGGCCCAUCAUGGGCUUUUGCUAAAUUUUUUUAUACAAGGGAGCCUUCCAUGCUUGCAAAAUGGUGGGAUAACUUGAACCGAUCGAUUCGCUCAAAACCGUCUGAUUUCGUUGGGUUAUCGAUUCAAUCAUCGAUUUAGGUGAUUUGUGACCGGUCCAAUGCUUAGACGGUUUAAUAAAGUAAAUCUAAUAAAAAAUGUGAUGGAUCGACGAUUGAACCAGUUGGAUCAGUCGGUCCCACCCGAUUUUUAAAACAUUAGAUAAUAACAAAUUAAAAGAAGGGUGUCUCCUCAUAUGAGUUUUUUUGAAGUUCUCUACUCUUGGAGUGACUGAAAGGAUAACUGCAGCCUGGUGAGAUGGACUUUGGAAUAUGAGAAGUCAAAUCAGAGGCUCCUUCCUCCAGAUGCUUACCUCAGCCUUGUAAGCAUGAGUAAAGAUAUGGAUGGUUUACCUUCUCAAGGCAUAAACCGCAUAACAGCAAGGCCUAUAUCCUUGACUUGGUCUGAAAGCAUCCUAGCUUGGGUCCUUCUGGGAAUGGGAUUGCCACACGUAUGACCUCUGUAUCAUCAGUUUUGGGGCAAAAUAGCCAUUUUAUGUAUAAAAAAAAAUAAGCUUUAGCCCUUUACAAAACUUAUGUUUAAACUAGCUCACAUAGAGUCAUGUCAUCAUUUUUCUUUUAAACUCAAUUAGACUUUAUUUUUUAACUGAAACUUCAAUUACCAAUUGAGAAUUCAUUUUUUAACUAAAACUUCAAUUUACAAUUGAGGUUUUAGUUAACUUUGUUUUAAAUUUAAAUAAAAAAUUAAAUUAUAAAUUAUUAUUGAAAUUUAAAAAAUAUAUUUUAAUAAUAAUAAUUUAUAUAUUUAAACUUAAAUAUCUAAUAUUACUUCAAUAAAGAUAAAUUGACAAAUAUAAUAAUAAAUAAAUAUUUUAUUUAUCAAUAAAUUAAUAAUUUUAAAAUAAUAAAGUUAUAUGAAAUCUAAAUAAGAUAUAAAAUUAUAUAAUUUGUUAAUUUAAGAUAUUUAAUUUUUUGUAUUUUUAAGAUAUUAAUUUAUUUGUAUUUUGACAAAUUUAUCUUUAUUAAAAUAAUAAUAUAUUCUUAAGUUUCAUAUAUAGAUUUUUUUAUUAUUUUAAAGCAUAUAUUUAUAGUUUACGUAAAAAAAUACUAUUAUUUGUACAUACAAUAUAUAUGCCUUGAAGAUACAUUUUGAAAUUAGUUAAUAAAAUUAAUUAGAAAAAAGUCUACUAUAAAAUUUAAUUUUUAAUAGUUUCAUCAAAGUCACAAAAAAUACUCAUUAAAUAUUUAUAUUAUGGAAAAAAAAUGCCCCUCCCUAAUAUUACAUGUGAUAUAACUUAAAUUAAUAAAUUGUAUAAUUUUAUAUUUUAUUUAUAUGUCAUAUAAUUUUAUUAUUUUAAGAUUAUUAAUUAAUUGAUAAAUAAAAUAUUUAUUUAUUAUAUUUAUCAAAUUAUCUUUAUUGAAGCAAUAUUAGAUCUUUAAGUUUAAAUAUAAAAUUUUUUAUUAUUAAAGUAUAAUUUUUUAAUUUCAAUAAUAAUUUAAAAUUUAAUAUUUUUAAUUAAAUUUUAAAGUAAAAAAAUAAAAUAACUGAAGUUUCAAUUGACAUAUCUUAUUUAGAUUUCAUAUAAUAUUAUUAUUUUAAGAUUAUUAAUUUAUUUAUAAAUAAAAUAUUUGUUUGUUAUUAUAUUUAUUAAUUUAUUUUUAUUGAAGUAAUAUUAGAUCUUUAAGUUUAAAUAUAUAAAUUAUUAUUAUUAAAAUAUAUAUUUUUUAUUUCAAUAAUAAUUUAUAAUUUAUUUUUUAAUUAAAUUUUAAAAUAAAAUAAAAAUUUUAACUAAAACCUCAAUUGUCAAUUGAGGCUUUAGUUAAAAAAUAAGUUUCGAUUGACAAAUGAUACUUCAAUUAAAAAAUGAAGUCUUAGUUGGUAAUUGAGACUUCAACUUAAAUUUUAAAAAAAAAAAAUUAUGACAUAACUCCUAUAUGUGAUAAUAAAGGAACUAGUUUAAACAUAAGUUUUAUAAAAGGGUUAAAACUUAUAUUUUUUUCUACAUAAAAAACUAUUUUGCCCUAAAACUCCCGUAUCGUCGACUAGCUACUGCUUUACUCCAUGUAACAUCUUGUCUACUUAAUUAUAUGAACUUCCUGAAUUAAUGCUGGAAUGACAAACCAAGUUUUAUUGAAAAUGGAAACCUUCUUAGAAUCAAACAUUUGCUCGAACAAAUUUCGCAAUAAAAAGAGGAGAGUUGUGAAAAGAAGCAUUUUUCCUGCAGCCAAUUACCUUUUCAUACAUUACUUUAAAACAAAUUAACAAAUAGUGAUCUCAUAUUUUACCUUUUCUGUUGCAGAUUACUUUUAAAAAUAUUCUCUCCACAGGCACUCCUACGGAAUCUUUCUCCAAAUCAAACUGUACAUUUUACUCAAAUUUUAAUAUCUAAUUAUAAAUAAUUAUGGGUGAGAUUGCAAUCCUUUGCUUAGCUCUUUGAAAAUCUAUGAUGAUACUCGGUAUUAAUAUUUUAUUUUAUUAAAGAUAAAAAUAUCAAAAUAAUUUUAGAACUUUUUAGUGGGGAUAAUACUUCCCCAUUAGGCUGCUUACAAGGCAUAAAUUAAUAUUUUUUUAAUUUUAAUAAAAGCAAUUUGGUACAGUUGACUUGAUUGAUAACUAUUUAAGAUAGGAUUUAGACUAAUUUAGAUUAAUUAGAUUGCAUUUACAGUUCCGUUACCUCGAAACAAAGUUGGUGCAACAUUAACCAUGAUUAUGGUGAUAUAUUUUAGUUUUAUAUUUUUUAAGGGGAUAAUUUUUUUUUUUAAUGGUUUGAUGUUAGCUUAUAAGAAAAACCUAAACCAUAAAAGCCGAAUCUUUCCAAUAUUGAUCCAAUUUCUAUCAUUAAAAAUAUAUGAAUAAAACUUUUGAUCCUUAAAUAAAAGUAUACAAACUAUCGUACAAAAUAAUGGAAUCAAAUAUACAAAAUAAGAUUAAGGAAAUGUUUGAUAAAACUUAAUAUUUAUUAUUUAAUAAUUUAAAUUAACUCUAAGUUAAAUUAUAUUUAAGUUGUUGACUUAAAACUUAUUAUUUAAUUUUUAUUUUAAGUAUUAAGGUUAUUUAAAAAAAUUAACUUACAAUUUAUAUUAAAUCAUCAAAUUAAAAUAUUUAUCUUAAUAAAUUAUAACUAAGACAAAUAAGGUUAAAUAACAAUGGAGGUUGUGAAGUCAUAAAAGAGAUCAUAAAUGUAAUUGAGAGAAAAAAAGACAAAAAUAUAAAAUGAAGAUACUGACUUAAAAAUAAAUAAAUUUUUUUAUUUAUUAAGUCUUUUAUUUUAAGUCAUACAAUAAAAUUAUUUUAUCAAACAUAUUUAAUUUAUUUAAUAAUAUAAUUAAAAUAUUAAGUCACUUAAAGUUAUUAAAUUGGUUUACCAAACACGUACUAACGUACAAAUAAAUAAGACUAAAAUAGAAAACAAUGAAACUUAAACACAUAUAUGACAUGGUCUAUUUAAUUGUAUUUUUUUAUAAAUGCCUCUUUAAUACUUCCCAAAUCAUAACAUUAAAUUUCUUAAAUUGAUAUAAAACAUUUUUUUUUUUCUANNNNNNNNNNNNNNNNNNNNNNNNNNNNNNNNNNNNNNNNNNNNNNNNNNNNNNNNNNNNNNNNNNNNNNNNNNNNNNNNNNNNNNNNNNNNNNNNNNNNACAUAUAUGACAUGGUCUAUUUAAUUGUAUUUUUUAUAAAUGCUCUUUAAUACUUCCAAAUCAUAACAUUAAAUUUCUUAAAAUUGAAUUAUAAACAUUUUUUUUUUCUAUGAUUGAAUCAUUUAGCACUCCAAGUUUUACUAUUGGACGAAAUGUUAAGGAUCUAAUAAAUGGGUAACAUUAAUUUGCUGAAAUAGUUUUUCUUAUUACUUAUAAUGGUUUUAAGAAUGUUGAAAAAAAAAUUCAUGGGAAAACAUUUAUCAAACUCAAAUUUUGAUUCCUAUUUACUUUAUCUUUCCUUGUCAUGUCUCUUUCUAAUUUUCCUUUUUUAGCGGUUUGUUUAUUAGAACAGUAUAUCAUGCCUGUGAUUCUCUUUCUAUCACUUCUUUUCAAUUGAUUUGUUUAAUGCAAUAAUAUUUGUUUAAUGCAAUAAUAUAUCAUGUUAGACAAAAUAACACCUACCUACUACCCAAAUCCCCAAUGUGACAAUGAACUCUAUCUUUAAGCAUUAUUAUAAAAUUAAACGUAAAGGAUAUUAUAAGUUUCUUCCAUUCCACGUGCCUUUCCCAUAUAUUGAAAGGUGGAGGUUAUCAUUUUUAAAAGAUCAAUAAUUGUAAUGAAUUUUCCAUUCCACGUGCCUUUCCCAUAGAUUGAAAGGUGGAGGUGAUCAUUUUUAAAAGAUCAAUAAUUUUAAUGAAUUUCAUAUAUUUGCAUAUUUUUUAAGAGGGAAUUCAAAUUAACUCAUCUUAUUUCUCAAUGUUACGUAACUCCUGCCUCAAAUUAAAAUCAUCAUAUCAUUAUGAACAACUUUGAUACAACUAUUCAAUUUUUAAUAUGAAUUCUUUCAUUCUCAAAUCAUUGUUCAAGUUAGCUUUAUUAACUUAAAAAAACUCAUUCUUUGUCACUACUCCCUCUAUGAUUAUUAAAUGAUAAAAUUGUCAUUGUCUUAAAAACUAAUUUUGAUAAUAUAUUCAUCAACAUAUUUACAAAUUUAAAUUAAUACAAGUUGUAAGAAAUGUAUCAUAAAGAAGAUACAAAACUAGAAGUAGAUGAUAAUUAAUUAUUUUUUUUCUUUAUUGAACUUUGACACCCCAUCCAAAUGCAUUAACGAGAAAAAUAGUGUUUUAUGCUUGUUUUCAAUUAAUCUUGUCAAUAUGUACAUGAAAAACAAUGAUUUAUGCUUAUAAAUCUUAUCAAUUCGCUUAUUUGUAUAUGUAAAAUGAAAUUAUUGAAACUACACGUAGAAUUGCAUGAGGAAAAAAAUACAACUACUGCAUUUAUAAAUGAAUAAAAGCUUGGCUUAAAAUUCAAAAUUCUCAAAACUAUGUUUUCCACACCAAAAUAUUUCAUCCAGCCAACCAAACACCGAUUGAAUCCUCCCUCUAAAGCAUAUUGCCCAAGAUUACAGGCAACGUAGUAAUUACCUAGGCAAGUACGUCAGAAUUAUAGCUUCUUUUUUUUUUUUGUUUUUUUUCAGUUCAUUGACUCGGCUCCACCCAACCACUAUCAGUAUCAGUUACUACCAGAGAGGGUACUGGGUACUGGUUACUGGGCAGGAGCUUUUCCAAAUUCACAACCCGUCUUCUUUAUAUAAGGGCAAGUUUAUGUAUUUCCUCUCGCCAUUGCCUUUUGUUCGAAUCAUUUGAAGUUGAUUUUAUUAAUCCAUCAGAAAAACAUGGCUCUAACUGGUAAAUUGGAGAUUGAAACAGAGAUCAAAGCACCUGCUGAUAAGUUCUUUAAAAUCUUCAGGAGCCAAGCACACCACCUUCCUAAUAUCUGCUCCGAUAAAAUACACAAAAUCGAGGUACAUGAAGGUGACUGGGAGACUCAGGGCUCUGUCAAGCAUUGGAGUUACACCAUUGGUAGGAUAUGCAACUCGAACUCAGAACCCCAAAACACUAGCUAGCAUUAUAUUCCGUUAAAAUGUUUUUUGAUUUUUUUUCCCCAUUUCAUUGUUGUUUUCUUCACAUUUUUUUAUUCUUUUAGAAUAAAUGCAUGGCUCUUUGUACAAUUUUUCUUUUUUUCUUGCAAAGAAGUGGUCAAGUCUGGGCCGCCAGUGACUAUGAUCGAUGGUUCUUAGUAAUGUAUAUGGCAUCUAAUAUUAGCUUCAACAUAUUCCAAUUACUAGGAGGGAAUUCUAAGAGCAUUAAGGAGAGUGUGGAAUCAAUAGAUGAAGAGAACAGGUCCAUUACGUUCAAGGUUUCGGAUGGAGAGGUGCUGAACGACUACAAGAGCUACAAGUUCACCACACAAGCAAUACCAAAGGGAGAGGGCUGCUUGGUGAAAUGGACCAUUGAAUAUGAGAAGGCAAGUGAGGAUGGGCCAGAUCCCCAUGACUACCUGGAGUUUGCAGUUACUGUCACCAAAGAUAUCGAAAGUCACCUUCUCAAUGCAUAACACCAAGUCCAUACAUACCGUCUGCUAGUAUCUCUAUUAAAUAAAGUUUGGAACUUGGAAGGGCAUCUACGAUCUCUAUCCUUCAAUAUAUGCGAAGGCUUAGGGGAACUUUUAGCAGCUGUGGCUUGGUGAUUAAUGCUGAGAAGAUAAACUAGGUUUCCCUUAAUUAUUUGUGUAAUAAUGUUAGUGCAUGCGUGUAAUCGGUUGUAUGCUUGUCUGGACUCUAGGGGUUGCUUUGUGAUUGUUAAUUGGUGUCUUUUGUAAUGGGAUUACUACAUGUUAUGUGAAGACUAUAUGAUGUAUAAGGAAAUAAAGUGAAAAUUACCAGGGGCUAACUCCAUCAUGAGGAGCCUCUGAGUAUGUCCACAAGUCUACAUUCUUGCAUUCUAGUCACAUGUGUCAAAAUCAGACCCUAACAAAUUACAGUCUUGAUCAUUGAAGGGGUAAAAUCCCACUUUACAUAUAAUCUAAAUAAUUUAGCUAAAAUCUAAUAAGAAUAUCUCUCUCUACAGGUAUGUAACCUUCCAACCUUGAAUUUAAGGAUAUUUAUAUAAUUUAAAAUUAUAAAAAGAAAAUUUUGGAUAUAGGACAAAUUAAUUUUUUUUUUAAAAAAUAACGAAAGUGAAUGAAAUAUUUUUGGUUCCUAUGACCACCCACUUUUUUUACUUUUUAUUUUUAUCUCAUUUUAGUUUCUCCACGUUAUAAAAAAAUGAAAAGAUAAAAUAGAGAGGAAAAAAGACAACUUGGAUUUGUAGAAGUUUCUUUCUUUCAUGGUGUUUUUCUGUUCUGUUUUUGCCUUUGUUUCAUUCUAAAAGUCACUCACUAUCUUUAUCUCAUUUGGGUUUCCCCGCGUUAUCAAAAAAUGAAAAUAUAAAACAAAGAGGAAAAAAAAACCUAUACAAAGGUCUUUGGAAUUUUGAUUCAAAGACUUAAGAAAAGAAUAAUAAAUUUUUGCAUUUGUUCCGUUCUAAAAUUCAAGGUAAGUUUUUCACAUAUAAUUUUUUUUUAGGAAUUCUAUUAUCUAUUAAUUAUGAGAAUAGUAAAUAUAUAUAAUAAUAAUAAUAAUAAUAAUCAUCAUCAUCAUCAUCAUCAUCGUCAUCAUCAUUAUCAUUUUAAAACUAGUUAUUAGUGAUCCUAAUCAAUCGAGAACAAGUUGAUUUUCAUUACCCUUGGUAAUGGUAGUGAUAAAAUAUAUUUUUAGUUAAUAAGGGUGUAAUUAGCUUUGGGGUUUCAUUGAUUAGAAAUUAUUUCAUCUACUAGUAAAAAAAACAAAGUAAAACUAACCAUCAAGUGCAAAUCAUGAAUUUUUUUAAAUAUGAAUUGAGUAUACAAAGUAUAUUAUUUAAUUAUAUAUUUAAAUUGAAAGAGAUUAAUUUUUCAAAAAUAGUGAAUUUAAUCAUUGAAUCAAAUCAACUUACCUGUUAUAAAGAUGUGAUAUGUUCCAAAAUUUAGUUGUAUACAAUACGUGACCCUUCUUAUUAAACUAUCCUUUAUCAUUGAGCUAUCUAACUUACCUUUCUCAAUUAUUAUCCUUUAAGGUACAUCAAAUAUUGGUAUAAAUGAGAAGAGAUCGAGAUAUGAAAAGUAUUUCAAAUAGAAACAUCUUUAGAAUAGAUUUAUUUUUUAGGAUUGUUUACUUAGAUCAAGUUUAUUUUAAUUUCUAAAAUGUUUUUUUAAGUGUUUGAGAGAAUUAAAGUUAUUAUUUAGAUAUUUUAAUUAGUUUUGGAUUUGUUUGUUAAGGUCAUUCAUACAAAGAUGAUAUCCAUUUCUGUGUUAUAUUUUAUUUUAUUUAUUUAUUUCUUAUUUCAUGUAUUAAGUUUGAUAAAACUGAAGGUGAAAUCAACAUUGAAUUGCUAAAAAUGUCAAUUACUAUUGUUAAUUUAUCACAAUUAUGAUUUUUUAAUUGUAGCACAUAGUAAAAUUAUUAUUAUUAUUAUUAUUAAUAUUUAUACUCUGGUCGAACUUAUCCAUGGCCAAUCCAUCAUGUAGGCCAAUUUUGUCAAACUUAUCCAUGGCCCAUCCAUCAUGUAGGCCAAAUUUUUAUUAGCAUUUUUGGGUCAUAACUCUAGAUGCUGACAUUAAAGCAUUUCUGGCAUAAUAAUUAUUGGAAAAGGAUGUCUCCUCUUUCAUGGAUCACAACCAAUACAGCAAAGAUGAUGAUAGAUAGCAUCCUUAUCACCUCAUGUGUCUUGACCUCUUCUUCAAGCUUGAGUGUCUUGUCCUAUAUUUAACGCAUGUACCAUUGCCUCCAAGAUAUGGUGACAGGAAUUAUAUAGCUACUGACUAGCUAGUCUUCACUCCAAAAAUAUGAUGGCCACUUUUUUGAAAUAUAACUCUUUAUCCUAUUGACUUAAACUCACCACCUCUUUCAGAUCCUCCACAAGGAUCAACUUAUUAAGAGUUUGGUCGAAGUUUGAUCCACUUUUCUAAAUGAGCAAUGUUAAAUUAUUUUAUUCAAACAAAUUUGAUGAUCAAAUAUCUCUUAUUUUCUCAAAUUUAAAUAACAUUCCUUUAUAAAAAUAAUUAUAAAAUUUAUUAUAAUCACUCAUUUUCAAUGGCUCAUUAGUAGAUGUUCAUUGUAUUAAAAUACAUUUAUAUGAUUAAGAAAAACUUAUACAUUUCUAUUUUUUUUUUCUAUGCAUAAUUUAUAAUAUCUCAUAUAGGAUUUAUUGGGUUUAGAAACAUGUAAUAUUUAUAUAAUAGUGAGUGAAUUAUUAUAAAUGGUAUGAAAAUUGAUUUUCAACCCUUUAUGAGAAUUUAUUUAAUACUACAAUAUAUGACUCUAUGUUUGAUUAUGUAAUCCUAUAAGACACGAUGUCCAUUAAGUUCAUUAUAUUAUUUUUAAUUAUGUAAAAAUAUUUUAAAAUUAAAAAAAUUCAUUAAACUUAGUGCAGACGCUAUCUAUAUAAAAGGAAAUAAAUGGUUAUACUUCAUCAUAUUCGUUUCUCAUAUUUGAUAUAUAUCAAUUUCAGCGACUAUUAUUCAACAUUGCCCGAAGCAAUAGGUGCCUCACUUUUACAAAGAAAACUUCCUCUAUUGAUAUUUCUCAAAUAUAAAUUCAUGUCAUGGACUCAUGGUUAACAACCGAUAGAUCCUAAAACAAUUAGAUAUCUCAGAUAUUGAUUGACCAAAUGGACAACCGAUGCUAUAGUAAGAGCUGUUGCUGUUAUCUUUUAAUUUAAAUAUACACAAACGACAAAAUGCUUAACUAAUCCACCACCCAGGCGCCGGGCCACAGAAAUGAAAUACCGCCUACCCCAACAUUUUGGAAUUAAAAAUCUACACCACCCAGAUCUUGCUGUGAUUUGGUAAAUCCCGAGAAAUUGACAACCUUCCUACGCUGGGGAGGCGUGGUUCCAUUCAAUGCCAACAUUUUCGGAUGGGUCCAGAGAGUUGUACAGUGACUUUUAAAUAAAGAAUUGUUUUAAACCUUGACUUUGGGCUCUUUAUCAGGAAUAUGAAAAUAUUGGGCAAUGACUAGAUUCGAGAGCAGGUUGCAUGCAUAGAUAUCGCAUUAAUUUUUAGCAAUCGUUAUGACGAAAGAAAAUCUGCAGAACCAAGCGAAUUUUCCUAGUCAUCAUGAGAGACAUUAGACAAGGUUUUCAAUUCAUAAAAUUGCCUUAUCAUCUGGAAUUAAAUAUUUUCAAGCUAAGGAUGAGGUUCAAUCCGUACGGGGCAAUGAAAAUAUAUGGAUGCCCUAUAGAGUGGUUGAACAUUCUACAGUUUCGUCCCUAUUUAUAGAAGAAGAUGAAAUUUUAAGCAAUUUGCUUCAAUGCAAUUUUAGCAUAUUUCAGCUAGUCAUAGCAACGUCUAAUUUCGUUGAUGUAGAAGAAGCUAACACCAAAGAUUCAUCUAGGUAGAAAGAAGUAUCGAGCAUGUAACUAACCGCAGAACUCACAUCUAGGGACCCUAUUGUAAAUAUAACAGGUGAUGGACAUAAAGAUAGAUAUGAGUAAAAGAGUGGAACAUAAAAUCCAAAUUUCAAAAGUAUGAUAGUUUUUUAGUGUUUCUUUGAAUCUCGUAGGAAUUUAGGUCAUUUUCAAUCUCAUCCAUGAGACAAGGUACAAUAAUUGUUGAAGAAUAAGAGUAUUGUUGGGCAGUUCGGCGAGCUAUAUAUAAAGAGAGAGACUUCUUAACCAUAUAAAUAUUAUCCUCUAUAACUCUAAAUUUUUUUUUCCUUUAUCCAAUAUAAAAUAUCACAAUCACUUUUAUGUAUGCACUCUUUUUAAUCACGUCGCAUAAAAUUACACCAUUUUCAAAGCUAAAUAAACUCCUAUAUAGGGGUCAUAUAUUGACUUCAAUACUCUUUGAAACGACUCACACUUAAUCAUAUAAACUCAUUAUAAUAAUGUAUUUCCUAAUUUCAUGGAAUUUCAAUAAAAUAUUUAUUACUUUCAAAUGGGAAUUAGAGAGGAAUGUUGUCUAGCUAACUCAUAAUUCUUCUUUAUAAGUUCAAAUUAGGUAUUUACUUCUUCCUACCAUUACCUCAUAUUUUGAUUGUUUCUUCGUUAAUAUAUAGUUGGUUAAACUAAUAAACUAGAGGUUAGGAUGGAGAUCAAUUUAGAUUAUGUUUGUUUUGAGUUUAAUAAACCCUUACGACUUUAAAAUGUGUUUAGAUAGUUAAGAGAAACUUAUACAUAUAUAAUAUUAAAAAAAUUUCCUCAUUUAAUGUGAGAUAUUAUAAUCAUCACUCAUGUAGACAUAAUAUAUUUGUUGUAAGUCAGAAGAUUGUAAAACCAAACAAAUUUUUUCAUUGAAAUAUAAUAUUAUUUGUAAUGGUUCACUUUCUCUCAUGGAUCCCAACUCCAUUAGGUUCUUCAUGAAGCUUGUUUCAGUUUAUUAACCACCGAUGUAGCAAAGAUGAUGAUAAGUAGUAUUUUUGUUUCUCAUAUGUUUUCAGACCUCAUCAAGCUUGAGUGCCUUAUCCCAUCUCUAACGCAUGUACCAUUGCCUCCAAAAUAUGUUGCCAGAUUAUACAUAAUAUCAUAAUUAUAGCUACUGAAGUCCAACGACUACCUAGCUAGUCUUCACUCCCAAAAACAUGAUGGUCACUUCUUUGAAAUAUAACUCUUAUCCUAGUGACUCAAACUCACCACCUCAUUGACAUCCGUCAUAAGAAUUUCAGAGACUCUUCAAAGUUUGAUCCACUUUUAUAGAUGAAUAAUGUAAAAUUCUUUUAUUCAAACAAAUUUGAUGAUCAAAUAUCUUUUCUUUCCUAAAAAUUAUAUUUCCUUUUUAUAAAUCUUAUUUUAAUGACCCAAUUACAGUAUGGUAGAUAUUGUUUGUUUCGAGUCCAAUAAACCCUUAUAACUUUAAAAUAUGAUUAAAUAGUUAAGAGAAACUUAUAAAUAUAUAAAUGUGAGGUCAAAUAAAUUUUCAUAUUGAGAUAAAAGAUUAACUUUAAUACUAUUUGUAAUGGUUUACUUUCUUUCAUGUAAACAUCAUCCACUUUAUACUCAAUGAAUCAUUGAAGCUUUAAAACAUAUUUACAUGAUUAAAAGAAACUCGUACAUAUAGUAUUAGAAUUUUUUUUUUCUGACCCAUGAUUUGCAAUAUAUGUAUAAAUACGUUUUAAAGUUAUGAGGAUUUAUUAAGUUCAGAGUAAAUAGUAUUUAUAUUAAAUGGAAUGACAUGUCACAUGCAAAUAAUAUCAAACUCAAUCUCCAAUUUUUAUAUAAGAGUUUGUUUGAUUUUAUAAAAAAUGUUUGUGUGUUUCAUUCUACAAUUCUGUGAGACACAACAUCCAUUUAAUUUAUUAAAGUCUUUUUAACUAUGUAAACAUGUUUUAAGUUGUUAAGAUUGAUUGGGUAAAAACAGAAGAGGUGAUUGUGUGUUUUAUCCUACAAUUCAAUGAGGCAAUGCCUAAUUGAUUCAUUGGGGUACUUUUAAUCGUUAAUGCAUGUUUCAAUGUUGCUAAGAUUGAUUGAGUGAGGAAAAUAUCUACAUAUGAAAGGCAACAGUUAGUUACACUUCAUUAUGUUUUUUUCUAAUAUAUUGAUAUAUGUCAAUUUCAGUAGUUAUUAAUUCAACAUCGCCCAAAGUAACCAAUGCCUCGCUUUUCCAAACAAAACUUUCUCUAUUGAUAUUUCUUAAAUAUAAAAUCAUGUCAUGGUAAGCAUCCGAUGGAUACUAAGACAAUUGGAUAGAUAUCUCAGAUAUUGAAUGGACCAAAUGGGGUAACGGAUGUGGUAGUAUACAAGCGCUGUAUAUCUUUUAAUUUAGAUAUACACACACAACGUAAUGCCUAAUCCAUCCAGCCGGGGGGCCGGCCAGAGAGAUAUAAAAUACCCCCAAUCCCAUCAUUUUGUAUUUUGUAUUGGAAUUAAAAAUCCAAACCCAGAUAUUGCUAUGAUUUGGUAAAUCCCGAGAAAUUGAGAACCCAUCCUGGGGGAGGCAUGGUCCCCCUAUUCAAUGCCAACCCUAUUUUCAAAUGGUGUCUAAAGAGUUGUACAGUUAACGGUGACUUUAAAAUAAAGAAUUGCCUUAAACCUUGAUUUUAGGCCCUUCUUCAAGAAUAUGAAAAUGCAUGUUGGGCAAUGAUUUAGAUUCGAAAGUGGGUUCUGCAGACAUCACAUUUCUGCAGAGCCGAAAAUAUUUACAAGCGUAGGACGAAGCUCAGUUCAGAUGGGCCUCGAAGAUGAAUUUUUAAGCAAUUUGCUUGAUACAUUCAGCAAUUGAUAAUUUAAAAUAAAAAAAAUUAGGAAAUAGAAAGUAAAACAUAUAUGGUUAAAACUUCAAUGCAAUUUUAGCAUAUUUGAACUAGUCAUAGGAGCGUUUAAUUUCUUUGAUGAAGAAGCUGAACACCAAAGAUUCAUCCAGGUAGAAAAAUGUAUUGACCAUCUAAUUGUCUGCAGAACCUACAUCUAAGUACCCCGCUAUAAAUAUAAGAGGCAACUUAGGUGAGGGACAUAUAGACACAUACGAAUGCCAUUGUAGAAUAUAAAAUCCAAAUUUCUCAAAACUAUAAGGUUAUGUUUGAAUCCAAAAAAAUAUUAGAGGAAGUGAAAAUGUUAAGAAAAAUAAUUUUUUAUGAUUAAUUUUAUUAUAAAAAAUAUAAAAAAUAAAUAUAAUUAAAAUUAGUUAGAAUUUUACAUAUUUUUAAAUUAUAUAAUUUGAAUUUAAAUAAAUAUAUAAAAAUAAGUCAUUAAUUUUAGAUCUAUUUCUUUUUUCUUUUUUUAUAUUCUCCCACAAAAUUUCAGUAACCGAACACAACCUAAUAGUUUCCACUGUUUCUUUGAAUUUCUCAACUUCAAAAUCUCUUGUCUAUGAGACCUCAGAGUAAUUAAUUCCUACCUCUUGGUGACUAGGCCAAGCGCAUGGAUAGGCACAUUGACCCACUUGUAAUUGCCUAGGCUAAUAGGCCAAGCUCAUAGCAAUUUUCCUUUUUUAUUUUUUAAUUUCGUCGUAGGACUUGGUCUCCACAAGGCACUAUAACGUAUCCCCUAAUUUCAUUUCAUGGAACUUUAAUAAAAUAUCUAUUGCUUUCAAGUGGGAACUGGAGAGCAACGUUGCCUAGCUAACUCACAAUCCUUCUAUAUAAGUUCAAGCUAGGUAUCUUCUUCCUUCCACCACUGCCCACUGCCUUGUAUUAGGAUAUCGUUUCUUAGUUAAUAUAUAGUUGAUUAAUUUCCAUCUCCAACUACUACUAUUAUUAGAAAAAUAUGGCUCUAACUGGCAAGCUAGAGGUUGAAAUGGAGAUCAAUUCACCUGCGGAUAAAUUCUAUAACAUCUUCAGGAGGCAAGCACACCACAUUCCUAAUAUCUGCUCAGAUAAAGUACACCAAAUUGAUGUACAUGAAGGUGACUGGGAGACUCCAGGCUCCGUCAAGAACUGGGGUUAUACUCUUGGUAAGGCAACCACAACUCAAACCCCAAAACCCUAGCACUAUUAGUCUGUAAAAAAAAAUGAUUUUUUUAGUUUUUCUAUUUCAUUUAAUUGUUUUUUUGUUUGGCAUUUUCCCCUUUAGAAUAUUAAUUUAACUGCAUUAAUUCGGAGUUGAUCCCAUCAUGUGGAAGUUUAUGCUUCUGUUAUGAAUACAGCUUUGUAUGCCUUCCUUAUGUUUAAUUCAACCUAAAGCAUGUAGAAUUGAUGGUCAAAGUCUAUGGGACCCUUUUUUCAUGACCGCCAUGCAUGGGGCUUUCCCAGGUGACUGCCCGCUACUAAAGGGGCCUAAAGUUUAGGUCCCCCGAGUUAGAACUUAGAAGAGGGAUUAUGAAUGAUCAGUGAAGUUGUAAGGUUUUGAUCUUCUUAGAUAUUACCUAGAAAGAGGAUUGACUUUACUUGACUUUUACCAUAUUGAUUUAGAGAUUGGCGAUUGCUUUAAAAGGUUGUGUCAACAGAAGAAAACUUAAAAAAUAUUAAGAAAAAUAAAAAAAAUGAUUUUGUUUUUAUAAAAAAAAUCAAAUAUAAUAAAAACGAGUUGAAAUUUUAUUUAUUUUUAAAUUAACUUUUAUAUAGAAGAAUUAAAAUACGUUAAGUAAAUUUGAAUCAAAAUAUAAAAAUAAUUAAUUUCUUAAUUUUAAAUUUAUUAUUUUUCUUUUAACUUCUUUUUUGUUUUUUCAUUUUCUUUUCUUUUGUAUUUUCUUCAAAUUUUUUUAGAACCAAAUAUAGUCAUUAUGAAAAGAUGGGCCACGAAGUGACUACGCAUGUCAAUUUGCUUGAGAUUUCGCAAUCUAGUAGUUUCAAAAUACUAUGCUUAACCCCUUGUUUUGGUUUGAAAUUACUAGGAGGGACUUCUAUGAGCCUUAAAGAGACUGUGGAAUCAGUAGAUGAUGAAAACAAGUCAAUCACUUUCAAGGUUGUGGAUGGAGAGAUCAUGAACCAUUUCAAGUGCUUCAAGUCCAACUUGCAAGUAAAAGCAAAGGAUGAGGGCAGCUUGGUGAAAUGGAGUCUGGAAUAUGAGAAAGUAAAUAAGGAUGUCCCAAAUCCUGAUGCUUACCUGGAGUUCGCAGUUAAUGUUACUAAAGAUAUUGAAAGCCACUACCUCAAGGCAUGACACCAAGGCCAUGUGGUAUCCUCGGUAGUAUUACUUCAAUAACGCUGGUGUUUGUAAUUUGGUUGAGUUGUAUGCUUUACCAGGAGUGGCCUUGUGAUUGGCUGGUUUCUUUUGUAAAGGCAUUAUCAUAUAUGAUGUAAAUACUGUACCUUAAAUAAAAAGAAAAUCAGCAAAGACCCUCCUUUUUAAUGUGGAUAAUUGCUUUUAAUGUCACCUUUGUUGAUCGGUUUACAAGACAAGAGUUAACAAGUAGUCCCUAUUUAUUAAAUAUAAGAAUUUUCUGUAUCCAUUAAUCAUCAUCAGUAAGCUAAUAAAAUGGCUGAUAUUUUUCUUAAUAAAAACAGCAACAGUUACUGAGUUUAUAUAUAGGACACCAGUUGCAGAUUAGAUUUCUUUGGCUUGAUUGUGAUCUUUCUACAUGUUGGAAAAAUAUUGUCAUUUGGUAUUUAAUAUCAAAUUUUAAAAAUAAUAUUUAAGAUAUGAAGAAAAAAACAUACAAUGAUUCAUAUUUUUAACUUUAAUAUGAUUUAAAGUUCAUCGAGUAACCGUUUUGAAAUCAUUCACCCUUGAUCUUCACUUUCCUAGUCUCCCUUUACACGUUCCUUAGUGGUGAGUAUGAAAAUGAUUCCAUUGAAUUGUAAGAAUGGAAAGAGGGAUAAAAAAUUCUUCUAUUUAUAAGCAUAGAAUGAUUCUUCUUAUCAGUGAACCAUUAACUAAAUACUUUAAACAUAUUAUUAAUUAAUAAUAAUAAUAAUAAUAAUUAUUAUUAGAAAAUAAAUUUCAUAAAUAUUAUAAAUUUAAAAAAGAAUCUAAUUUAAUUCUUAAAAAAUUUAUGCAUGAAAUUUUUAUAUUAUUUUUAAUUGUUUUCUAAGGGUUAUUUUAAGAAAUUAUUAUACAAACAUAUAAAAUAAUUAAAAAUAAAACAAUAGAUAUAAAAAUUAUUUUUAAAAAUAUUAAAAAUAAAUUCAAAAUAUUUUAAGUUGCCAAACAAAUUUUUUAUUCUACAAAAAUCAGAGAUAGUUUUCAAAAUCUCUUUUAAAAAACUAUUUUUCAGAAUUAUUUUAAAAAAUAGUUACCAAACAAGCCCUAAAAGAUUUAUAUAUAUAUAUAUAUAUGAAAUUAAAAAAAUAUCAAAUAAUAAAAAUUCAAACAAUGGUAAGGGUGUCACUAAUGAUCGGUUUGGAUUUAAACUAACAUUUUUUUAUAUUGAGUAAUUUAUUUUUUAUUCUAUAUAUUAGAAAAUUGAAUUUAAAUGUAACUUUUUCAAAUAAAAUAGUUAGAUCACACUUGAUAUAUAGUAAUAAUUUUUUAAAAACUAAUGGUCAUAAUUUAAAAAAAUGAUGAAAAAAAAAUCUCAAAUAUAUUGCAUAUGAAUGUAUAUAUUUAGUUUUAUACAACAUGUUAGACAUAUAUUAGUUAUUAACUUAUUAUAAUCUACUAAAAUAUUAAUUCUAUACGAGGGGAUUAGAUUUCUCAUUGUUGAUUUUAUAACCCUCAUUGUGGGAUUAUAAAAUGUCAUUGCAAUCACUCCCAAUUUAGUCUAUGCAAAUCAAAUAUAGAAAUGCAAUUUAUCUCUGUCACAAUUUGUUACACAAUAAUGAUAAUGGAUAAUAAAUAAAUAAAUAAAUAAAAUUAAAGAACACACAUUUAUGUAUAAAACUUUAGAUGAGAAAAAUCAUGGAUAAGGAAAAUGAAUAUCCAAUAUAUCAAAAGAUUGGUAUAAAAGAUGAGAAAUAUAAACAACUAUGAUAAAAAUAUAAUCAUCAUAACCUUAAAAUUAUGUGAAAGUAAUUAACAAAGUAGGUCCAUACAUAAGGACAAAGAGCCCCCUCAAAGGUAUCAAUGGUGGGGGUGUGGGGUGUGGGAUCGGAUCAAAUUCCAACGUUAUCAAUGGUAGGCUAGGGGAUCGGAUCAAAUAGAAUUUGGAUCGCCAAACCUUAAUACAUUUUAUGCUUUUUCUUAUUGGUUUAGAUUUAUGAUAAUCUCCUCCACCAGCAAAAUAAAGUUAUACCGGAGGAUUUUCUUUGUUUUGGCUGUCACACUUUCACUUCUUUGCUAAUAGCCUAACAUCAAAUGAGAAAAUAGAGACAUUUUAAAAAUGAGAACAAAUUCUCGAGGAUUUAGUUGUCUGCCACUAGACUAUAAAAAAUGCUUUCCUGUUAUUUUACCCCCUAAAAUAAGUUUGAUACAAUGCAUCUAUUUUCUGGCUCCGACAAUGUUUAAGAAUACAUCAACCGACCUCAAACCACAUUAUUUCGGUUUGAAAAGAAGGCUUUAUUAUGUCAGUAUGGCUGCUAAGAAGACUUUUGGAAUAUAAUAAAACAAGUCCAGCGAGUUGAUGGUUUGGAAUCGAGAGAUCAUGAAUGAUUUCCCUACUUUAGAGUCAAUAAUUAAGUGGAAUGUGAGAAGGUGAAUGAGGAUGGCCCGGGAUCCAAUGCUUACUAAACUAUUGAAGAUCACCUUCCUGAGGCAUAAUUCCAUUACUUUUCAUCGACGCUGCGAUGCUAUAAAAGAAUAUUAUAAAAAUGCAAGGGUAAUGAAAUAUUGUACAGCCUUUACCGUAUUGAAGAACGUGGACUGAUUGCUAGGGUACCCAACACCCACCAUAAUUCCCACACCAACUCCCAACCAACCCGAUCACGUAGGGCCUCACAUGGCCUCAUUAUCAUUUAUGUGGAAAGAUAAUGCUAAACUAUAUACGGGAUGGCCAUUCUACCAGCCAACCUGUAAUGAUUUUGAUAAAAGUAUACUAAAAAUAGAAGGAGAAAUUAAGUUAUCAUUUGAUAACGGUUUUUAAAAAUUGUUUUUAAUAUUUUAUAAAAUAAAAUUUUAUUUAGAAAUACAAAAUAUUUUUAACUUAUUUUUAAUAUUUUAUAUGUAUAUAUAUAUAUAUAAAGAGAGAGCGCUUUAUUUUUAAUUAUUUUUCAUAUUUAUAUAAUUAUUUUUUAAAACAAUUUCAAAAAAACAAGUGAAAAUAACUAAAAAAAUAUUCUUUGAGAUAAAGAUCAAAAAACAUAAAAUAGUUUUUUUUAUUAUCAAACAUGUUUUAUGUUUUCUAAUCUGUGUUUUUUUAAUUUGUUUUUUGUUUUCAAAUCUUAAGAUCACUUAAUUUUUUAGGGUUUUUUUUAAGAAAUAAUUAUAUAAAUAUAUAAAAUAAUUAAAAAUAAAAUAUUAGACAUAAAAAUUAUUUUUAAAACAUAUUUAAAAAUAUUAAAAACAAGUUUAAAAUAUUUUAAGUUAUAAAAUAAGCUUUUUUUUUUUUACAAGAAUCAUAAAAUAAUUUUUAAAAACUAUUUUAAAAUAUUAUUUUUGAAAAUAAUUAUCAAACCCCUUAUUUUCUAUUCUCAAAAAAUGUUUUUUAAUUAUCAAAUGUGGUGUCUAUUUAAAUUUAAGAUUUUAAAUUUUAAAUUUAGUUAUUUCCAAGUUAUGAUCUCUUGAUAUUAUUUCAACCUAUUAUUUAUUUAUUUGUUUGUUUUUCACAUAAAUAAACUAAAAUUCAAUUGUAUAACCCAGUAUGAAUCACGUGGGCCCUUAGUGAGGCUGGCUACAACUAAAUCAACGUUCUUUUGAUAAUCGAUUGCCUAUGAAAGAAAUCAUCACGCCUUACACACAAUAGAAUAAAUUAAUAAGAAAGUAAGAAGAUUAGAAAGAAAAGCAUCUUAGAGGAAGGGUUUUUUUUUUUUUAACUUCUUGGUGGUGACACUGGAUGGGCUUUUGAUAAUUGUACGACGAAUUUAAAAUUAAUGUUUUAAAAUACGGUAUUAAAAAAUAUUUUCAAAUUUAUGGUACUUUUUACCACUUUGAAACAUGUUUCUUAAAAAAGCAUAUUUCAUCGUUUUUAUAUUAAUGAUACACAUUCAAAAAAAAAAAAAUUAAAGGUGUCUUUUUGAAAUAUAUUUUUCAUAAUUUUUAUAUCAAUAACACACAUUAAAAAAUUUUGAAUUUAUAUUAAAAGUGUCUCUUCAAAAAACACAUUUUAUAAUUCCAUAAAAUUAAAUUUAUAUUAAAAGUGUCUUUUAAAGAUAUACUUUUUACAAUUUUCAUAUCAGUUAUAUAGUGAAAAAAUUGAAUUUAUAUUAAACAUAUUUCUUUAAAAGACAUUUUCUACAAUUUCAUAAAAUUAAAUUUAUAUUAAAGGUAUCUCUUUCAAUAAUUUUUGUAUCAAUCAUCCAUUGAAAUAAUUGAAUUUAUACUAAAAAUAUCUUUUUAAAAGACACCAUCCAUAAUUUCAUAAAAUUAAAUUUAUAUUGAAAUGUUUCUCUUUAUACUUUUAAUAUAAAUUUAAUUUUUUUAUAGGUGAUUAAUAUAAAAAUUAUGAAAAGUAUUUAUUUAAAAAAUAUUUAUUAUAAAUUCAAUUUUAUAGAAUUAUAAAGACGUCUUCAACGUAAAUUCAAUUAUUUUUUCAAUGUGUAAUUGAUAUGAACAUUAUGAAAAAUGUCCUUCAAAAGACACUUUUAGUAUAAAUUUGAUUUUAUGGUAUUAUUAAAAGUAUAUUUCUUUAAUAUAAAUUCAAUUUUUUAACAUGUAUAACUAAUGAAAAAUUAUAAAAAAAUUAUAUUUUGAAGAGAUAUCUUUAAUAUAAAUUCAAUUUUUUAACAUGUAUAACUAAUGAAAAAUUAUAAAAAAAAUUAUAUUUUGAAGAGAUAUCUUUAAUAUAAAUUCAAUUUUAUAGAAUUAUAAAAGAUAUCUAUUGAAAAAAUACUUUUAACAUGUAUCAUUGAUAUGAAAAAUAUAGAAAAUAUCUUUUCAAAAAACACUUUUUAAAAUGGUAAAAAGUACCAUAAAUUUAUCAAAAGUUUUAUAACUAUCAUAGAAAUUUUUUUCAAAAGUUCCAUUUUUUAAUAAUUAUUUUUUUAAAUAGCCGUACAAGUUAUAUAAAAAAAAACCCGAUACUCCAUAAAAUGUGAUCAAGUAGGAUUUGCAUCAUGCAACCUCAUACAAAUAAUAAAAAGCAUAAAUCACUUGAAACUUGAAAGUGAUUGGAAUUUGGCAGACUCUAGCUAGCUAGGUUGCCAUAAAUGACAUGGGUCAGUGGCCGACACCCACCAAACCCAGCACUUAAUAAUAUAAUUAAUAUACUAUUAUUAUAGAACCAUCGUUUUCAGGAUAGGGAGCAUCAAAUUAACCUCCCCAAGUCAAACUGCACAAUUUGUUUCAUCGAAAUCGAAUAUCUAAUAAUGAAUGAUUAUGGGUGAGAUUGCAAUCCGCCAAUCCUUUGCCUAGCUCUUUGAAAAUCAAUGAUGAUGCUUAGUAUUAAUAUUUUAUUUAUCUUUUUAAUAUGAAAAUAAAAAUAUCAAAAUAAUUUUAAACUUUUUUCGUGGAGAUAAUGCUCCCCAGUUAAGCUGCUUAUAAGGUAUAAAUUAAUAAUAACCUUUUAAUUUUAAUAAAAGCAAUUUGAUACAUAUCACAUCUUAAUUCACUUGAGUAAUAACUAUUUAAGAUUGGAUUUAGGUUAACUUAGAUUAAUUAGAUUGUAUUCAGGUUAAUUAAACCAUAAUCAUAUUAUUAUCAACAAUUUCUCACAACUAUCCUAUUUUUAAUAUGAAUUAUUCCUAGUUCUCAAAUUAUUGUUUAGGUAGUUUUAUUAUCUUAAAAAACAUCUUUUUUUGUCAUUGGUUCUGCAUGGUUAUUAAAUAAGAAAAUUAUAAUUAUCUUAUCAACUAAUUUGAAGACUUUUCACAAAUUCAUACUUUAAAAACCUCUUUCUUUGUCGUGGGUCCCUACAUGGUUAUUAAAUAAUAAAAUUGUAAUAAUUUUAUCAAUUAAUUUGAAGACUUUUCACAAAUUUAUACAAUACUAGUUAUCGGAAAUGUGUCACAAAGAAGAUGCCAAGCUAAAAGCAAAUCAUGAUUCAUUAUUUUUUUUCCCAAUUGGAGCUCGAUGACCCAAUCCGAAUGCAUUAACAUCAAAAUUAGUGUUUUAUACUAUUUUCAAUGAACCUUGUCAACAUGAUCGUGAAAUGAUUUAUGAUUAUUUUCAAUAAACCUUUCAUCGAAACUAUGUGUAGAACUGCAUGAAUAAAUAAGAAAUUUUCAUAGUUACAGAUUUGCAUUAUCUCACUCUAUAUGAUUUUAUAUAGUUUUUUUUUUAAUACUUCUGCAACAUUUCUUUAGAAAAAAUAUUGUAUCAAUAAAUUCAGUAAUUUUCAUCAAUUUCAAUCUUAUAAUUAAAUGAUACUUCUGUCAUGUAUAUCACCAUACGUGUCACACUUCAUUCAAGAUCAGGUUGAUUAGUCAUGUAUACCUGCUCCAUUAAUAAAGUAUUAAGUUUUUAUUUUAUUUUAUUAAAAUAAUAAAUAAAUAAUAUAAUUUUUUUUUAUUAGAGGUAGUUAGGUAUCAUUAAAUGAUUUGUUGUCCUGCCAUGUCCCCAAUUAAUAAUUUUAUACUUUUCAUUUUUUUCAAAGGAUUUAAAAUAUAAAAUAUUAAAGAUAAAAUAUCUGAAAGUACCGCUUCCAUACCCAAUCAAAUUUUAAAUCUAAAUUAUUGACAUGUGAGUGAAAUUUGGACUAUUAAAUAAAAAGUGAAAAAAAAAUAAAAUAAUAAAUAAUUAAAAAUGUUCCUGCAAGGAGAUGUGACUAAGGUUAAAAAAGGAGGGGAUAAGGAGCGGCUAGGAAUAUGUAAACAAAAUUCAAAUAAUUAAAAAACGAAAUGAUAACUUCUCAAUGAAAUUGAAUGUUUCAGUUCUAAAAUCCAAAACAAAAACUAUAGUGAAAGAAAAAUUUGAGAAAAUAUAGCAUGGUCUUCUCUUUAAUGAUUGAUAAAUAUUUAUAUAUAAAUAAAGUUUAUUUUCCAUUAUAAUUUAGAUUAGUCGAGUCUUGUUUUCUACUCAAAUUCAAACUUCACAUUUUGUUAUAAUUUAAUCUAAUAAUAAUUGUUUUCACAAGACAAGCUGAAGUUAUCCAUUAAAAUACAACUUUUAAUUAAUAGUUUAAAAAAUAAGAUAAAUUUGAAAAUAAUUUUAAAAUUUAAUAAGUAUAUAUAUUUUUAAAUAGCAUUUUUUUUUUUAAAUUGCCAAAUCUAUGCUCAGAAAAGAUCCACAAAAGUUGAUCAACAAAAGAUACCGAACAGGAAGUAGAUGAUAAUCCAUUAUUUUCUUCUUUAUUAAAGUUUGACAACCCAAUCUGAAUUCAUUAACGUGAAAAGCAGUGUUGUAUGCUCAUUUUCAAUGAACCUUGUCAACAUGCACGUCAAAAACAAUGAUUUAUUAACUACGUACAUGUAGAAUUCCAUGGGAAAAAAAAAAAUACAAUUAAGGCCUUGGGAGAUGAAUAAAAGCUUAACCUAAAAUUCAAAAUUCUCAAAACCAUGUUUUUUCACACCAAAAUGUUUCAUCCAGCCAACCUAAGACCGAUUGAAUCCUCCCUCUAAAGCACAUUGCCCAAGAUUACAGGCAACGUAGUAAUUACCUAAGCAAGUACGUCAGAAUCAUAGCAAUUUUUACCAAAGUGGGUAUCGGGAAGGAGCUUUGCCUAAUUCAUUCUUCGACAAGGUUAUCUACUUCCUCUCGUCACUGCCUUCUGUUUGAAUCAUUUGUAGUUAGUUUUAUCAAUCCAGCUAGUGUUAUUAUCAGAAAAACAUGGCUCUAACUGCUAAAGUGGAGACUGAAACAGAGAUCAAAGCACCUGCUGAUAAGUUCUUUAAACUCUUCAGGAGCCAAGCACACCACCUUCCUAAUAUCUGCUCCGAUAAAAUACACAAAAUCGAGGUACAUGAAGGUGACUGGGAGACUCAGGGCUCCGUCAAGCAUUGGAGUUACACCAUUGGUAUGACAUGCAACUCAAACUAAGAACCCCAAAACACUAGCGUUAUAUUCUGUUAAUUAAAAUAAUUUUUGAUGUUUUUGUUUCAUUUCAUUGUUGUUUUCUUCUCCUUUCAAUUAUUCUUUUAGAAUAAUAAACGCAUGCGUCUUUGUACAUUUUUUUUCUUGCAAAUAAGUGAUCGGGUCUGGGCCGCUAGUGACUAUGAUGGUUCUUAGUAAUGUACAUGACAUCUAAUAAUAGCUUCAACAUAUUCCAAUUAUGUUUAACCUCACAUUUUGGUUUUAACUAGGUGGGAAUUCUCAGAGUAUUAAAGAGACUGUGGAAUCAAUAGAUGAAGAAAACAGGUCCAUCACGUUCAAGGUUUUGGAUGGGGAGGUGCUGAAAGAAUACAAGAGCUACAAGUUCACCGCACAAGCGAUACCAAAGGGGGAGGGCAGCUUGGUGAUAUGGACCAUCGAAUAUGAGAAGGCAAGUGAGGGUGGCCCAGAUCCCCAUAACUACCUAGAGUUUGCAGUUAAUAUCACCAAAGAUAUCGAAAGUCACCUUCUCAAUGCAUAACACCAAGGUCAUAUCUACCCUUUGCUAGUAUCUCGCUCGUAAAUAAAGUUUGGACCUUGGAAGUCCAUCUACGUACGAUCUCUAUCUUUCAAUAAACGCAAAUUCCAGGUGUGGACUUGGUGAUUAAUGCCGAGAAGAUAAACUAGGUUUGCCUUGGUUAUUUGUGCAAUAAUAUUAGUGCAUGAGUGUGAUUGAUUGUAUGCUAUCUUGUCCGGGAGUUGCUUUGUGUCUUUUGUAAUGGGAUUACUACAUGUAAUGUGAAGACUAUAUGAU